AGGAGGAACAGCCCCAGUGGCGGGGCCAGCUCUGGAAACCUGGAUUCAGCUCCGGAGCUCUCCGUCUGCAGGGCCUGGAGGCUCGGGCCGGG
rnacentral:pre_miRNA from 1 species